CUCCUCUUAGUGUAGUUGGUUAUCACGCUCGACUGUAAUAUUGCAUUGUCUUCGAGAGGUCGGUCGGUUCGAAUCCACCAGAGGAGA
rnacentral:tRNA from 1 species